GACGAACGCUGGCGGCGUGCCUAACACAUGCAAGUCAACUUGACUGAAGGAGCAAUCUGACAGUAGAGUGGCGCAAGGGUGCGUAACGCGUAAGUAACUUGCCCAAGGUAAGGAAUAACGCCGAGAAAUCGGCGCUAAUACCUCAUAAUGCAGCGGAUCCGCAUGGAUAUGUUGUUAAAGGUUUACCGCCUUGGGAUAGGCUUGCGUCUGAUUAGCUAGUUGGUGUGGUAACGGCACACCAAGGCUACGAUCAGUAACUGGUCUGAGAGGAUGAUCAGUCACACUGGAACUGAGACACGGUCCAGACUCCUACGGGAGGCAGCAGUGAGGAAUAUUGGGCAAUGCUCGAAAGAGUGACCCAGCAACGCCGCGUGGAGGAUGAAGGUAUUCUAUAUCGUAAACUCCUGUGAGAGCAGACGAAAGACAGAUAUAAUCUGAUGACUGUAUG
rnacentral:rRNA from 1 species